rnacentral:tRNA from 1 species
ACAGAUGUGGCCGAGUGGGUAAGGUGCUGAAAUCCUAGGAAGAGGGUCGAGGGUUCGGACCCCGUCAUCUGCA